CAUGCUCUGUUUGGUCUCAUAUUCGAACGUCCCCCUCGCCUUUUACUAGGGAGACCCGGGGACCAGGCAGGUCAAAGCAUGCCCACAAUCUUUCGUGACCACCCUCAGGUGGGA
rnacentral:snRNA from 24 species